rnacentral:lncRNA from 12 species
UGGUCUGUUCCUGUCCUCGUGGAGUGUUGUUUAAAGGAGCCUGGUGACUCCCCGUGGAGGCUGCUGGAGCUGCAACGGGCUUAAUCAGUGGCCCCGUCCCUGCUGGGCCCCAGCACAGGCAUGUGUCUUCAGCUGGAAGGCCUAAGGAAUCAUCAAGUUCAAAACCAGUGUCCUGACCUUACAUGCAGGGAGACCAAGGUUCGGUGAAGGAAGGAGCACACUCCUGACCCUUGACUUCCCUGGCUCCACUGCAGGCUACCAUCCUUCUAAAUCUUCAGUUUGCUGAAGCAGAGGACGCGUCAUGACAGGACGUGGCCAAGGUUCCCAGCCCACCUGCCACCUGAACCCAGCGCAGAGAGUGGAUGGAUGGAUGUGGACCUGGAAACCCCUACACUGGACAGCUUCUCUAAGACCUUGAGGGAGGGGACCCCCUAGCUCCAGGCUGAUGCAGCAGAUGUCUCAGUCCCUGUGUCCCUGGCACUGCUUUCUGCUUAUUAAAUGCCCGAAACCAGGGUUGGCUGGUA